rnacentral:rRNA from 1 species
UACGUAGGGAGCAAGCGUUUGUCCGGAAUCAUUGGGCGUAAAGAGCGUGUAGGCGGCUCGGUAAGUCCGCUCUGAAAGCCCGGGGGCUCAACCCCGGGAGGCGGGCGGAUACUGUCGGGCUAGAGUCCGGAAGAGGCGAGUGGAAUUCCUGGUGUAGCGGUGAAAUGCGCAGAUAUCAGGAGGAACACCAAUGGCGAAGGCAGCUCGCUGGGACGGUACUGACGCUGAGACGCGAAAGCGUGGGGAGCAAACAGG